AUGACACCUCGUGCUUCAAAAUGGAUUAUGGACAGCGGAUGCACUAAUCAUAUGACUGGUGAUCGAAGUCUUCUCAUGGACUCAACCUUACGUCCAUCCGACAAGAGUCACAUCACAUUUGCUGACACUAGUAAAAGCAAGGUAUUGGGUCUAGGUAGAGUUGCAAUCUCAAAGGAUCAACACAUGGAUAAAGUGAUGCUUGUUGAAUCCCUUGGGUUCAACUUAAUGUCUGUCUCAAUGCUUUGUGACUUGAACAUGAUUGUGCUAUUCGGAAAAUAUCAUUGCCUUGUACUAAUGGAAUCUGACAAGUCUCUUGUCUUUGAAGGGUAUCGGAAAGAUGAUCUAUACAUGGUAGAUUUCUCAGCAGGUCCACAGCUUGCCGUAUGUCUUCUUGCAAAAGCUUCAGAAUGCUGGCUCUGGCAUCGGAGGCUGGGCAUGCUGGCAUGA
rnacentral:rRNA from 1 species